rnacentral:rRNA from 1 species
GUAGGUGGCGAGCGUUAUCCGGAAUUAUUGGGCGUAAAGCGCGCGCAGGCGGUUUCUUAAGUCUGAUGUGAAAGCCCACGGCUCAACCGUGGAGGGUCAUUGGAAACUGGGAAACUUGAGUGCAGAAGAGGAAAGCGGAAUUCCACGUGUAGCGGUGAAAUGCGUAGAGAUGUGGAGGAACACCAGUGGCGAAGGCGGCUUUCUGGUCUGUAACUGACGCUGAGGCGCGAAAGCGUGGGGAGCAAACAGGAUUAGAUACCCUGGUAGUCCACGCCGUAAACGAUGAGUGCUAAGUGUUAGAGGGUUUCCGCCCUUUAGUGCUGAAGUUAACGCAUUAAGCACUCCGCCUGGGGAGUACGGUCGCAAGACUGAA